GACUGUUCAAUUAAAACAAAGCAUCGCGAAGGCCCGCGGCGGGGGUUGAGGCGAUGUGAUUUCUGCCCGGUGCUCUGAAUGUCACAGUGAAGAAAUUCAAUGACGCGCGGGUAAAUGGCGGGAGUAACUAUGACUGUGAUACUGCGAAACACAAUACCAGUAACCGAAGAUGUGCAAUGUACUUUC
rnacentral:ncRNA from 1 species